rnacentral:rRNA from 1 species
CCUACGGGAGGCAGCAGUGAGGAAUAUUGGUCAAUGGACGCAAGUCUGAACCAGCCAUGCCGCGUGCAGGAUGACGGCCCUAUGAGUUGUAAACUGCUUUUGUACGAGGGUAAACACCGAUACGUGUAUCGGGAUGAAAGUAUCGUACGAAUAAGGAUCGGCUAACUCCGUGACAGCAGCCGCGGUAAUACGGAGGAUCCGAGCGUUAUCCGGAUUGAUUGGGUUUAAAGGGUGCGUAGGCGGUGUGAUAAGUUAGAGGUGAAAUGUCGGGGCUCAACCCCGGAACUGCCUCUAAUACUGUUGGACUAGAGAGUAGUUGCGGUAGGCGGAAUGUAUGGUGUAGCGGUGGAAUGCUUAGAGAUCAUACAGAACACCGAUUGCGAAGGCAGCUUACCAAACUAUAUCUGACGUUGAGGCACGAAAGCGUGGGUAGCAAACAGGAUUAGAUACCCCAGUAGUC